AGUGUGCUAGCUUGCUAGAAUUUAGAUACAGGUGCUGCACGGCUGUCGUCAGCUCGUGUCGUGAGAUGUUGGGUUAAGUCCCGCAACGAGCGCAACCUCGUGUUUAGUUGCUAACAGUUCGGCUGAGAACUCUAAACAGACUGCCUACGCAAGUAGGAGGAAGGUGAGGACGACGUCAAGUCAUCAUGGCCCUUACGGCCAGGGCUACACACGUGCUACAAUGGGGUAUACAAAGAGCAGCGAUACGGUGACGUGGAGCAAAUCUAGAAAAUGCCUCUCAGUUCGGAUUGUAGUCUGCAACUCGACUACAUGAAGUUGGAAUCGCUAGUAAUCGUAGAUCAGCAAUGCUACGGUGAAUACGUUCCCGGGUCUU
rnacentral:rRNA from 1 species